AACGUAGGAGGCGAGCGUUAUCCGGAUUUACUGGGUGUAAAGCGCAUGCAGGCGGUUGGCUAAGUUGGGUGUGAAAGCUCCUGGCUCAACUGGGAGAGGUCGCUCAAGACUGGCGAACUAGAGGACGGUAAGGGGAAGCGGAAUUCCGGGUGUAGUGGUGAAAUGCGUAGAUAUCCGGAGGAACACCAGUGGCGAAGGCGGCUUUCUGGACCGCACCUGACGCUCAGAUGCGAAAGCUAGGGUAGCAAAC
rnacentral:rRNA from 1 species